UCACUGGCUUCGACAUCAAUCAUCAAAUGAUCCCGGUAACUACAUAUGGCACUCCAGGUUCUCUAAAUGUGCUACAAAAUUGAUUUUGAACAAUAAAUGAAAGACUCUAAAAUGGUUAAAUUUUAAAUAUAUUUAGUGAAGAUAUAGUACUUACGAGCGACUCUGAAUGUGGACGAGCUCUCUAUCCUUCGAUCGAGUUAGAGAUGCCAC
rnacentral:lncRNA from 1 species